AGCAAAUUUAGGGGCGCAAAUAGAAUUCCCCGAAUACUUGAUCCAGUCUCUGGACUCUGGAGCCUCACCGCACUUCUGAAAAGAAAGAGCAAGCCUCUCGACACCUGAUCUUGCAUUUCCAGUCCACCCCAUUAGAGCCCUCUCUGCUGUGCGCCCUCCAUCUUCAUCUUUCAUUUUCAGUCCCAGCUCCCUCCUUUCAAUCUCUUGCUCGAAAGUUUUACAGGCUCUGAGUAAGCAGAGAAAUGGCCUUAAUGAGGGGAGAGCCACUAGUGACGAAGCUUGCAGUGUUGGCCAAGUAUGUGGUUCUUCCUGGAGCCAUGGUCGCCGCCCUCAUCUAUUCACCUCCUGAUUACACUUCUUCCAAGAACAAUCCUAAGUCCACCAAAUAAGACAUAGCUCGGGCCAUACUGCAUAGAAGUGGAUGUUAGAGAUGUGCUCUCCUCCUGUUCAAAUUUCGUAUGGAAUAAUCUGAGCCUAAUAGAUGCUCAAGUUGAGGGAUUUUUCCUGCUUUCUUUGAAGAACUUUGACAUGAACUCUGUAAAUGUACUUCCUUAUUACCAGAUUUCCUCUGUCAAUCCCUUAAUCGAAUGACUCUCGACGAAGAACACUUGAUUACAAUAAUUGUUAGAUGAUAGUUGUUGCCAGACUGGGUUAGGGAUGAAAUCUCAUUGGUUGACUAGUGCUGCGACUGAUGAUAUGUUUUGUUCA